rnacentral:rRNA from 1 species
UUUAAAGUUUAAUCUGCCCUAUGAGGAAUUAAAUGGCCGCGGUACUUUGACCGUGCAAAGGUAGCAUAAUAAUUAGUUUUUUAAUUGGAAGCUGGAAUGAAUGAUUGGACGAGAAAAUGACUGUCUCAAUUUAAUUUUUUUAGAAUUUUAUUUUUAAGUAAGAAAGCUUAAAUUUUAUUAAAAGACGAGAAGACCCUAUAGAGUUUUAUAUUUAAUUAAUUUUUAAUUUUUUAGUAAUGUUUUAUUUAUAUUUAGUUAAAUAUUUUAUUGGGGCGAUAGGAAAAUAUUAGUAACUUUUUUUUAUUAUGUAACAUUGAUGUAUGAUUUAAUGAUCCAUUAUUUAUGAUUAAAAGAAUAAGUUACCUUAGGGAUAACAGCGUAAUUUUUUUUUAGAGUUCUUAUCGAAAAAAAAGGUUGCGACCUCGAUGUUGGAUUAAAA